UACGAAGGGGGCUAGCGUUGCUCGGAAUUACUGGGCGUAAAGGGCGCGUAGGCGGACAGUUUAGUCAGAGGUGAAAGCCCAGGGCUCAACCUUGGAAUUGCCUUUGAUACUGGCUGUCUUGAGUUCGGGAGAGGUGAGUGGAAUGCCGAGUGUAGAGGUGAAAUUCGUAGAUAUUCGCAAGAACACCAGUGGCGAAGGCGGCUCACUGGCCCGGUACUGACGCUGAGGCACGAAAGCGUGGGGAGCAAACAGG
rnacentral:rRNA from 1 species